UGCAGAGGUAAAAUCCUGCCUAAAAGUGGAUUUACAAUUUAAAAAUCGAUUUGUUAAAAAUUAUAUAGGUAGGCCUACUGUAUGACUAUCCCCUUAUUGGAAAUGCAUUGUUUGUAAUUCUUAUAUCAACAGAACAACAGAUUGAUGGGGAAACACUACUGGGACUAACAGAGCGGAUGGUAGAAAAACUGUUUCCCAUCAUGAAACACCAGGUCUUGUUUUUGAAAGAGUUGGAGAAGUUGCGCAGCACAUCAUCAGCACAAAAAUCCAAUCCAACAUGUGACACACUACCUGUAGAGUCAAAUACUCAUCAACAAGCUCAUGUGUCAUGGCCAGCACUGUAUACCCUGCCUGUUAUGCCACCAGAGCUACAGGAAGCUCUACACAGAAAAGAUCCAUCUUUCAAAAAAAAAGGAUAAAUCACACUUGAGAGCAUUGUUAAUACAAGUUCUAUUUGACCACAUAACAAUGUA